GUACAGUCACAUCACCAACAAAAACACAAACACUUUGAAGAAUAAAUAGCAAUUCAAGAUAUGAAUAUUUUAUUUCUUUAAAGAAAUGAUUUGGUUACAAAGCCAUAUUACAAAGGUGAGCACUACGCCAACGUCACCACCAAGGGAAAACUGUGACCAAAAGGCAUUACACAGCAAAACCCCACCUGCAACACAUGGUGCGCACACCCGAAGCAAGUGGACCUCCAAGUCAGCCACGCGACCUCGUCCGCAAACACCUUCUUUUCCGUUGACUCUUCUUCUUCCUCUCAUAAAAGUUGCACAGUCACCCACAAACGAAAGGAAGACCUGCAGAUGCACAAAAUCUGAAUCCAGAUGUGGUGUUUCUCUCUCUCUCCUUUGCAGCGACGUCUUUCUCUCCAAGCCACAACAAAGACGAACCUGUAGCAACAAGAAUGAAGCUGCAGCGGUUGAAGACGGGAAAGCAACUCGGCCUUGUCAUUCGAACUUGCACUCGCAUUCACUUUCUCUGAUCGAGUCAAGCAGAGCAGACUUUUGAUGCCUUCCUAGGUUCUUCGCCGGUUUAGCAACCUCAGCCUGACAGAGCACUAUAUAAAAAAUAAAAAAAAUAUAUAUAUAUUUAUAUAUGCGGCAAACCGUCCUCAGCAAUAAAACAUACCUCACAGAGUGAAGGCAGCGCCCUCCUUCCUCUUCUCCAUUGGUGGAAACAUUUGCAGCGCCGUCGAGAGACGACGAUAAACGGAAGCCCGAGCGGUUGU
rnacentral:lncRNA from 1 species